GUGUCCCCUAGAGUUCCCCUCAACGCUUCAUUGAGGACUGAUUAGGUUCACUUUCACUGGUCCUCACUGAAGUGUUUGGGGGAGCUCCCGGUGGCUC
rfam:Vigna angularis cultivar Jingnong 6 chromosome 1, whole genome shotgun sequence.